rnacentral:tRNA from 1 species
GCCCUUAGCCCACUAAAGCCAAGAUUUUACCCAAAAUGCCCCCAG